AAGUCUGUCUUGGAGAGUGAUGUCCUCUGUCUAUAACACAGAUACAGAAAUGGUUGGACAGAGCAGGCUUCCCUGUAGUAAUGUGCCUCAGUUCUGACCUGAAGGGACCACCUCAAGACAAAAGAGCUUAUUUCAGUACUGACCCUUUUAAGUCUGCU
rnacentral:sRNA from 1 species